GUGGCUUUGGAGGGGGUUGGGAAACGCGCCGGUUUCCUGGUCUCGAGUUAUGCAGGAGUUUCCCAGCCCCAACUAGGAUCUCCGCCGAAAAAAAACUUUUCACUCGUGACACCGCCCGGAAUUACCGUGCGAAACUCACUUCCUGCCUUGGCGCAGAAGCAGAAUCCAGCUCGGUCCAGGGGAACCCGGAAAACCAGCUCCGCGCGCGCCGAGGAGGGGGAGGGCACGGGGCCUCAGCCGAGAGCCUCGGGCUCCGGGCGCCCGGCGCGCCCCGCACACCCGACGGCGGCGGAACCCGGCCGGCAGGGGCCAAGAUGCCGCCGGGGCGCUGGGCGAGCCUCGGCCGCGCUAGGCCGCCAGCUCCUCCUCGCCGCCGCCCCCAGAGCCGGGCGGCGGGGUUAUUGUCUCGAUAGAGCCAGCCGCGCCCUUCGCCCGCGCCGCCGCCGUCGCCGCCGCGGCCGCCCGGGGCCGGAGCCGAGGGGCCGGGCAAGCUCGAAGGCGGCCCCCUCCCCGGGCAGUCUGUCGGGCCGUCCGUUCUUCCGUCCGUCCCUCCCCGCCUUUCCUGCUUGCCCUCGAACCCUCUUCUCCUCCCUCUCCCGUUUUCCCGCCGCCGUCCCUUCGCUCCCCUCCUCGUUCUUCUUCCCCGGCGACGGUGGCUCCCCGGGGAAGCGCAGGAGGUGGGGGCAGGCGGCGGCUGGGUCUCCUCACGAGCUUGCGGGGCCGCGGCAGGGGCCGAGGCUGCGUCCCGCGCCGCCGCGCCACAUUCACUCGAGCGAGAGACUGCGAGGGGAGGGGAGGGGUGGGAGGGGAGGGAGAGAGAGGAGAGAAAGGAGGAGGAAGGGAGCUGGGGCGGAGGGGAGUUACUGCCUCACAGGCCGCGGCGGCAACAGCGCCACCGCCCCAGCGGUGAGGGGGAAGAGACUGCGCGCGACUGCUUCUUGGCGGGGGCGGGGCGGCCUCCCGCCGGCUUCGCCUCAACCGCCAACUGCCGGGCUGGAGGCCGGCGCGAGCCAGUCACCGCGCGCGGGGGCGGCGCGGGCAGACGUCGGCGGCGGCUGCGGCGGGGGACGGCGGGGGGCGGUGGGCCCGGGGCCUUGCGGGGAGGGGGCCGGCGGCGGCGGCAGCGGCGAGGGGGGUUCGCGUACGAGGCGCGGCGUCAGGCCCUCUUAG
rnacentral:lncRNA from 1 species